GGGUACAUGAAGACUGCUAGAUGAGACGGGAUCUCACUGUGUUGCCCAGGCUGGUCUCGAACUGCUGGACUCAAGUCAUCCUCCCAUCUUGGCCUCCCAAAGUGCUGGAAUUACAGUGGACAACCUUCAAUGCACUGGUACUUUGUACCCUGACCUCUACUGUGAUGAACACUCAACUUGGGCAAGGAAGUGAAAUUCUCCAAAGGAGGAGGGUGCUCUGAAUAGAUGGACCCUGAUUCUACUUACAAAACUGUGGGAAGAAACCGGAGCUUCCUCCCUCUCUGAGACAACGGUGCCACUGAGACUGCGUGAGAUGCGACGUAAAUUCUCUGCACUGUACUGCUCAUCCUCCCCACACUCCCUGCUGAGGCCUCGGCAAGGUGUAGCCUUCAAACACACAGACACAUACAGGCAGACACAUAAUACCAGACUUAUGGUUUUCCCACAGACAGUAUCCUCAGGGUAUGGGAAAGAGUAGGGGAAGACUCAGUAGUAAUAGACACCUGAAUUAGAUGUAUUGGUAAGAUAGUGGCCAUGUAACAAUCUCCUCUAAUUCAAAAGAAGCCCAAUCAUAGACCUUAUUUUCUUCUGAUAGCCCCAUAUCACCAUGCCUCUGCCUUAUCAUCAUCCCUGUCACAUCUCUCCAUAAUUCCUUCCCCAACACACCACCCCAGGCCCAGCACCUUAGCACCUGAGGCUGCUACCUGAGAAGUACGCACUGUUCUGGCUUCAUGGAGACCAUGCUCCAUUUCUGCUGUUGAAGUCUUUGAGAGACCAGGAUCAUGGGCUGAGUGCAACCUCCUCCCCAUGCCAUCUGCAGAGCCUGAAGAGGAAAACACAAAUACAAGUUGAGGCCAUCUCUUCCCCUAGGGCCUAACCUCUAAGCCUAGCAGCACAAACUCAGGAGCUGUUGUUUCAUUUAAUAAUAAAUAUGCAUCCUUGAAUUCAACGGAGGAACAUGCUCCUGGAAUUUAGAAGCAAGAGGGGCUGGGCGCGGUGGCUCACACCUGUAAUCCCAGCACUUUGGGAGGCCAACACGGGCAGAUCACGAGGUCAGGAGAUCGAGACCACCCUGGCUAACAUGGUAAAACCCUGUCUCUACUAAAAAUACAAAAAAUUAGCCGGGCGUGGUGGCAGGCACCUGUAAUCCCAGCUACUCGGGAGGCUGAGGCAGGAGAAUGGCGUGAACCCGGGAGGCGUAGCUUGCAGUGAGCGGAGAUCACGCCACUGCACUCCAGCCCGGGUGACAGAGCGAGACUCCGUCUCAAAAAAAAAAAGAAACAAGAAUUUUAGAAUAUAGAUAGUUUACUGAGUGUCCCCAUCUUGCUUCAUUUCAUUUUUGUAAACAUAAUCAGCUUCUGUCAGACUUAGGCUCAAGACUUAUAGACAGAGGAAAGUAUCUAACACAGUGAGUUUUGUUUUCUAACACAGUGAUUUUCUAAAGUAUCUGUGGUGACAAAGGAAAUUAUCUCCAGUCUAGUUCAGAAUAGAAAUGAUCAUAAUAAUCAUCUAUCAAACCUCCUCAUUUUAUAUAACAGGAAAAUGAGUUCCAGGGUCUGAGAGUUUAGUAGUUUAACCAGGAUUAAAAUUAAAUCCUCUUGAUUUUCAGUACAGUACUCUUACCAUCUCACCUGGUGACCUCUUUUACUCUGAGAGCAGGAGCUCCUCAGGAAUGUUUUACAUAUGUAAUGCUCUUUUCCCCUUAGCUUCUCUCAAAUCAUUUAAAUUUCUAAACAACCACUAAAUGCUUACCUCUUUUCAAAAUCUUUCUAGAUUGUUCAGUUGCUCUAAACUGGAUUGGUGACUCCCAAGGGGCUAUCCCCAAUCCAACUAAUUAAGUUUUCCAUUCCAAAACUGUAUAUGCCCCUGACCUACAUUUGAUACAUAUGUCCAUGGCCAAUUCAUGUCUUGAUUUGAUGAUUUGAUUCUAAUAUAUAUAUAUAUAUCUGGCUGAAGCUGAUAUUAUUCAUGUAAGUAUUGUAAGACCAGUUAUUUUCAGUAUUCCUGGGUACUUAAAUGCAGUGCUUUCAAUACCACCUCAGAUUCAUCUGGGAACUUUUAAAAAUAUAGCUUCCUGGAUGUUACCACAGAGCUGAAUCAGAAGGUUUGUGGUUGGUGCCUGGGAAUUUUCAUUUUUGAAAGGUUCCCAAAAAGUCUAAGAAAAUAUCCUUGAACAUUAUUGGGGGAAAUGGGAAAUGUUACAGUCUUCCUAAAAAACAACCUGGUAAUCUCCAAUAAAAUAAAAAAUAUAUUUAUCCUGUUGCCCAACGAUUCUAAUCCUGAGAAGAAGAAGAAAAAAAUACCAGUUCAUAACAACAUAUAUAUGAGAAUAUUUUCUACUGACAUAAUUUAUAGUAGCCAAGAACUAGAAAUAAAGUAAUGCCCACCUAUAGAAGAAUAAAUACAUUAUGGUUUAAUACCAGAUAUUGUCCAGCCACUUAAAAAGAUUGAACUGAGUUAAACUAGAUGAUUUGAAGAAAUUUUAAUGAAACAUUGUUGCAUUAAAAGGAAAAAAAUCUGUAAAAUGAUAGACAAGCAUUUGUUUAUGUAUAUGUAGGUCUACAUAGGAUUGUAUAAACAGAAAAUACAGUGUAUGCACACUAGAUAAUUACCUGGGGAAGUAGGGACUGGCUGUGAGAGAAGAGACAGGAAAAUUGUCUAUAAUAAAAACAGCAUGUGUGUUAUGUUCUUAUUUCUAUAAAAUU
rnacentral:lncRNA from 1 species